GUUUGAAUUGUGCUGGCUCUGCUCCUGAUCUGCCUUUUUGUCAGUCUCAGCCAAUCCUAUGGGGAAGCAUUGUGAUUGGAUCAGGCUACCACUUCUGAUGAUGUCAGCAGGCAGUGGGCAGGUCAAAAGGAAACUGGGACAAAGUAAGCAGCUCCAGAUUUGAAUACAAGUAGGACUUUACUAUAUUUAGGGAGGCAUGAAGGGACCAGGAU